UACAGAGGUCUCAAGCGUUGUUCGGAUUCAUUGGGCGUAAAGGGUGCGUAGGCGGCGCGGUAAGUCGGGUGUGAAAUCUCGGAGCUUAACUCCGAAACUGCAUUCGAUACUGCCGUGCUUGAGGACUGGAGAGGAGACUGGAAUUUACGGUGUAGCGGUGAAAUGCGUAGAUAUCGUAAGGAAGACCAGUGGCGAAGGCGGGUCUCUGGACAGUGCCUGACGCUGAGGCACGAAGGCGAGGGGAGCAAACGGG
rnacentral:rRNA from 1 species